AGGCGUUGUCCCCCUUUUUUAACUUCUUAUUUUGUUUGUUUGAAAUCAAAGAAAUAAGCAUGUUUCGAUUAAAUGAUUAUUUUGUCGUAUUUAUGUUCCCAGAAAGAGAAAAAUAUCCCCCUUUGCCUCUGUGUAACACAGCAAGAUUAUUUAGUACAUUGCAACAUAAUUGUUUCCUAGAAACUAAUGUUAUUCUGUAGAUAAGAUCGACUGUGAUAUUAUACAUGCAUCGCGAUUUUCUAUCUUUCGUUCUGUUUUUUAAAAAGAAUAUUUGUUAUAUAUUAUUUAUUUAUGUUGGUAAGAACGUUAUCUCUGGCUCCUUUAGUGAAAGGCCAAGGACAGAGAACUUACUGAUUUUCACUGAGUUAUCAGAAUAAAAACUGAAACAUUUUC
rnacentral:sRNA from 1 species